AUACGGCUGGCAGGAGGCACUGGGGCUAUGGAGGGUGAAGUGGGCCCUGGCUGCAUUUGGGCAGUGGGACGGUGAAGUAGGAUGGGAAGCUGGCAGUUCCCAGAUUAAUGUUCUGACUAGUACAAGAGCAAGAGCAGACCAAGGAUCAAACCAAUGUCAUCUCCAGAUGAUGCCAAAGAUCCUGCAGAGGGGUCCAGUCCAGCUGCUGCCAGUGGCUCUCCAGCUUCUGGUGAUGGCAGGCAGUCACCUGCUGAUGCUGCAGGCACAGUGGAAGACCAGGGCACAGACCAAACCAACACUGCUGAUGUUCCAGUAGAUGAGCAGCCACCCAUCUCAGAUGAGCAUGCAGAUGCUGCAGGCAUAGCUACAGGCAGCGACUCGGCGGAGGUCGGGUCAGCAGACGUGCCCACACCCGCGGAGACCGCCGCCGAUCCGGCAGCGCCGCCGCCAGAUGGGGCGACUAGCGAUUCCGGUUCCACUGCCGACGUACCUGCCGCCCCGUCAGGGGCCGACGCCGCCGCGGAGGCCGGGUCCCAGCAGGAAACGGCGCCGUCGCAGGCGGGGGUGGCUGCUGUGAAGUCGCAAGCAAGUGCAGCCUCUGUAAAGUCGCAGACAAGUGCGGCCAGUACGAAGUCACAGACAAGUGCAAGUGCUGUGAAGUCGAAAACAAGUACAGAUGCUGUGAUGUCAAAGACAAGUGCAGGUGGUGUGAAGUCACAGGCAAGUGCAGAUGCUGUAAAGCCACAGACAGGUACAGAUGCUGUGAAGUCACAGACAGGUGCAGGUGGUGUGAAGUCACAGACAAGUGCAGAUGCUGUGAGGUCAAAGACAAGUGCAGCCACUGUGAAGUCACAGACAAGUGCAGAUGCUGUAAAGCCACAGACAAGUGCAGAUGCUGUGAAGUCACAGACAAGUGCAGGUGGUGUGAAGUCACAGACAAGUGUAGGCAGUGUGAAGUCACAGACAAGUGCAGAUGCUGUGAAAUCGCAGACAAGUGCAGCAACUGUGAAGUCACAGACAAGUGCAGAUGCUGUGAAGCCACAGACAAGUGCAGCUGCCAGGAGGUCACAAACAAGUGCAGUUCCUCUGCCAUCAGGGGAAGGGCCAGUUACUAUCAAGUCAGAACCUGCUGCAAAUGCUGCUACUCAGGUAGAGACAAUUGUAGCUGCUGCAAAGUCAGAACCUGUGCAAUCUGUUGUGAAGUCAGGGACUGCCAAUGUGAACUCAGAGGCAAGUGCGGCUGCCGUGAAGUCAAAGGAAGGUGUAACCACUGCUAAGUCGGGAGAAGUUGCAGUUGCUGUGAAGACAGAGCCUACUGAUAGUAUAAGUACUGCUAAGUCAGGAGAGGGUGCAGUUGCUGUGAAGUCAGAGCCUUCUGAAAGCAUGACCACAGCUACAUCAGGAGAAGGUCCAGCUCCCAUGAAGCCUGAGCCCCUGACUGUGCAGUCUGGGCAAGGUCCACUUGCUGUGAAGUCCGAGCCGGUAGGAGGCGCAGCAGCCGCGGCUCCGGAGACAGCCGCAGAAGCUGUGAAGUCAGACCCCGGCCCCAGCGUGACAUCUGAGGCCGGUGCGGGGGCCGUGGCGCUGGAGCCGCUACAGCCGCAGGAUUCUAAGUACGGCCUGCUCAACCCUGACGGCCUGGCAGCGACGCCGUCCACGUCGCUGGACCGCAGCGCCAGCGAGAUACGCCGGCCGCCGCCGCCGCCUCCGAGUCCAGCUGGAGUUCAGGGCCACUGGGCCGCCCGGGCCGCAGGACCAGCUCUACUGGCAGCAGCAGCUGACCGAGCUGGAGCGUGAACAGGACAGGCUUCCGCCGGAGGAGACCGACCGUCGGCCGGAGCAGAUGGGGUUCCGCAGCCCGGAGGAGUACGCCCGGCGCGCCAGCGAGGCGCCGCUGCCAGGCGCCGCGCCGCCCGCCUUCCCCGUGGACCGGCGCGGAGUGACGUCAUACCCGCUGUACUCGGUGCCAGAGAUCUCGCCCGGCGAUGGUGAUGUCAGUGACAACGGCGUGCUGCUCGCGGAGCUGGUGGAUCGGCUGAGUUCCGACAGUGAGACGCCGCGGGGCCGCUCGUACCCGCUGUACCAGCGGCCCGAUGGCGACCUCUCCUCCCCCGAGUCCAGGUCGCCCC
rnacentral:misc_RNA from 1 species